GAUGAACGCUGGCGGCGUGCCUAAUACAUGCCAGUCGAGCGAACAGAUGAGGAGCUUGCUCCUCUGACGUUAGCGGCGGACGGGUGAGUAACACGUGGAUAACCUACCUAUAAGACUGGGAUAACUUCGGGAAACCGGAGCUAAUACCGGAUAAUAUAUUGAACCGCAUGGUUCAAUAGUGAAAGACGGUUUUGCUGUCACUUAUAGAUGGAUCCGCGCCGCAUUAGCUAGUUGGUAAGGUAACGGCUUACCAAGGCAACGAUGCGUAGCCGACCUGAGAGGGUGAUCGGCCACACUGGAACUGAGACACGGUCCAGACUCCUACGGGAGGCAGCAGUAGGGAAUCUUCCGCAAUGGGCGAAAGCCUGACGGAGCAACGCCGCGUGAGUGAUGAAGGUCUUCGGAUCGUAAAACUCUGUUAUUAGGGAAGAACAAAUGCGUAAGUAACUAUGCACGUCUUGACGGUACCUAAUCAGAAAGCCACGGCUAACUACGUG
rnacentral:rRNA from 1 species